UUUCCGUAGGUGAACCUGCGGAAGGAUCAUUACCGAACUGUAAACACGAGUUGUUGCUGGUCCUCAAAUCGAGGGCAUGUGCACGCUCUGUUCACACACCCACUCACACCUGUGCACCCACUGUAGUUCUAUGGUGUGGGGGACCCCGUCCUCCUGCUGUGGUUCUGCGUCUUUACAACACACAAUGUAAUAGUCUCAUGGAAUGUACACCGCGUUUAACGCAAUACAAUACAACUUUCAGCAACGGAUCUCUUGGCUCUC
rnacentral:misc_RNA from 1 species